CCUACGGGUGGCUGCAGUGAGGAAUAUUGGUCAAUGGGCGCGAGCCUGAACCAGCCAAGUCGCGUGAAGGAUGACUGCCCUACGGGUUUUAAACUCCUUUUAUAAAGGAAUAAAGUGAGGCACGUGUGCCCUUUUGUAUGUAUUUUAUGAAUAAGGAACGGCCAACUCUGUGCCAGCAGCCGCGGUAAUACGGAGGGGCCGAGCGUUAUCCGGAUUUAUUGGGUUUAAAGGGAGCGUAGAUGGGUUGUUAAGUCAGUUGUGAAAGUUUGCGGCUCAACCGUAAAAUUGCAAUUGAUACUGGCAGUCUUGAGUACAGUUGAGGUAGGCGGAAUUCGUAGUGUAGCGGUGAAAUGCUUAGAUAUCACGAAGAACUCCAAUUGCGAAGGCAGCUUACUAAACUGCCACUGACAUUGAUGCUCGAAAGUGUGGGUAUCAAACAGGAUUAGAUACCCGAGUAGUC
rnacentral:rRNA from 1 species